rnacentral:rRNA from 1 species
CUGUGCAAAGGUAGCAUAAUCAUUAGUUUUUUAAUUGAAAGCUGGAAUGAAUGGUUUAAUAAGAAAAAUUCUGUCUCAAUUUUAAUUUUUGAAUUUUAUUUUUAAGUUAAAAAGCUUAAAUUUGUUAAAAAGACGAGAAGACCCUAUAGAGUUUAAUAGUAAUAAUUUAAUUUUUAUUAAGAUUUAAAUUUAAAAUUAUAUUAUAUUAUUUUGUUGGGGUGACAUAAAAAUUUAUUUAAUUUUUUAUUUAUUAAAUCAUAGAUUUAUGUAUAAUUGUUCUUAAUUUUUGGAUUGAAAGAUAAAUUACCUUAGGGAUAACAGCGUAAUUUUUCUUAAGAGUUCUUAUCGAAAGAAAGGAUUGCGACCUCGAUGUUGGAUUAAAAUAUAAUUUUGGCGUAGAAGUUAAAAAUUUAGGUCUGUUCGACCUUUAAAAUU